CGCGAAACCUCUGCAAUAGGCGAAAGCUUGACAGGGUUACUCUGAGUGAUUUCCGUUAAGGAGAUCUUUUGGCACCUCUAAAAAUGGUGCAGAAUAAGGGGUGGGCAAGUCUGGUGUCAGCCGCCGCGGUAAUACCAGCACCCCGAGUGGUCGGGACGUUUAUUGGGCCUAAAGCAUCCGUAGCCGGUUCUACAAGUCUUCCGUUAAAUCCACCUGCUUAACAGAUGGGCUGCGGAAGAUACUAUAGAGCUAGGAGGCGGGAGAGGCAAGCGGUACUCGAUGGGUAGGGGUAAAAUCCGUUGAUCCAUUGAAGACCACCAGUGGCGAAGGCGGCUUGCCAGAACGCGCUCGACGGUGAGGGAUGAAAGCUGGGGGAGCAAACCGGAUUAGAUACCCGGGUAGUCCCAGCUGUAAACGAUGCAGACUCGGUGAUGAAUUGGCUUAUUGCUAAUUCAGUGCCGCAGGGAAGCCGUUA
rnacentral:rRNA from 1 species